AUUGAACGCUGGCGGCAGGCCUAACACAUGCAAGUCGAACGAGUGGCGGACGGGUGAGUAAUGUCUGGGAAACUGCCUGAUGGAGGGGGAUAACUACUGGAAACGGUAGCUAAUACCGCAUACCAUCAGAUGUGCCCAGAUGGGAUUAGCUAGUUGGUGGGGUAACGGCUCACCAAGGCGACGAUCCCUAGCUGGUCUGAGAGGAUGACCAGCCGCACUGGAGCUGAGAGACGGUCCAGACUCCUACGGGGGGCAGCAGUGGGGAAGAGUGCACAGUGGGCGCAAGCCUGAUGCAGCCAUGCCGCGGGUAUGAAGAAGGCGUUCGGGUUGGAGAGUACUGUCAGCGGGGAGGCGGUACCCGGAGAAGAAGCACCGGCUAACUCCGUGCCAGCAGGGGCGGGAAUGG
rnacentral:rRNA from 1 species